ACUCAUCAAAGCCCAAGUAUGCUUUCCCAACAUGGCCACAUGCAUUGGCCUCCCUUGUUGUUCGGACCCCUAAAGCUCCAUCCUUCUUAGAUUGUCUAACAGUUUGCCAGUUCACCCAAUUAGAUGAGGGUUUCCCAUGAAGCCAUGGGUUGCUUUGUCAAUAGAAUCACAAAUCUCUUGUGGUAACCAAAUGUUCUACAUAGUGUAAAUCGGGAUUAAGUUCAACGCAAACUUGGCUAGAGUGGCUCUACUUGCCCUAUUAAGAAGUCUCGCUUUCCAUCCUGCUAAUCUUGAAUUUCUCCGGUCUAUUAAAAAGGUAAAAUCAGCUUUCUUCACCCACCCAGACAACAACAGAGGGAAACCCAAAUAUUGGCUAAUAUUUGUUGAAUUAGUAAAACCAAGAAUAUUGGCAAAGUUAGGCAACUUUCUUACCCAUAUUCUUCGAGGUGACGAACUUAGAUUUCUGGAUAUUCACCCUAAGCUCGGAGGCUUUACAGAACAUAUCCAAAAGUCUAUUGCAUGAUACAUGAUAAUUAUUAUGCAUACUUGAUUUCUUCACUUAAAUUACAUAAUAAUUAUCUCAUUUCUUCUCUUUUAAUGUUCUGUUUGAUCCAAAAAGAUAGGAAUUUAAGUUAUUUUGGAUAUUAGCUUAAGAAAGUUAAAAUUAGUGAAAUUUACUGUGUUUAGCUUUAUUUUUUAGAGUUACACAAGAACAAAGGACAGAAAGAUAUAUGAAGAACUGAAACAACUUGCUUAGCGCGAGAAACUUACAUGGGAGAACGCAUGUAAGCAUCUGGUGGUUUCUCAAGUCAAUUAUACUAUGCAUGUACGCUCAAUGCACAAUGCACACAUGUAGACUUAGCGCGUUGUCACUUAAGUCAGUUGUAUUGUGUAUGUGGGCUCAGUACACACAUAUAGGCUUAGCACAUGAUGACUUUCUGAAAAAUAUGAUGGUACAACAUUCUGAGGUGGUUUUAAAAAGAAGGACAUUCUUCCAUUGGGGGAGUCAUACGAGGGCAGGAGAUAAAAUCCACUUUGGGAGGUUUCCUUCUUUCAUGUUCUCCAUUUUCUUUGUUCUUCUUAUUUUGGGUCUUUCAUGGUCAUGAGAGACUAACUUACCCAUUGUUGAAAGCUUGUAUAUCAAAAACUCGG
rnacentral:lncRNA from 1 species